UACGUAGGGCGCAAGCGUUAUCCGGAAUUAUUGGGCGUAAAGAGCUCGUAGGCGGUUUGUCGCGUCUGCCGUGAAAGUCCGGGGCUCAACCCCGGAUCUGCGGUGGGUACGGGCAGACUUGAGUGCAGUAGGGGAGACUGGAAUUCCCGGUGUAGCGGUGAAAUGCGUAGAUAUCGGGAGGAAUACCGGUGGCGAAGGCGGCUCACUGGACCGGUACUGACGCUGAUGCGCGAAAGCGUGGGGAGCAAACAGG
rnacentral:rRNA from 1 species